rnacentral:rRNA from 1 species
UACGGAGGGUGCGAGCGUUGUCCGGAAUCAUUGGGCGUAAAGGGCGCGUAGGUGGCCCGGCAAGCGUGCGGUGAAAGCUCGGGGCUCAACCCCGAGUCGGCCGUGCGAACUGCGGGGCUGGAGCACUGUAGAGGCAGGCGGAAUUCCGGGUGUAGCGGUGGAAUGCGUAGAGAUCCGGAAGAACACCGGUGGCGAAGGCGGCCUGCUGGGCAGUUGCUGACACUGAGGCGCGACAGCGUGGGGAGCAAACAGG